rnacentral:rRNA from 1 species
CAGCCGCCGCGGUAAUACCAGCACCUCGAGUGGUCAGGACGUUUAUUGGGCCUAAAGCAUCCGUAGCCGGCUCUGCAAGUCUUCGGUCAAAUCCACCUGCUCAACAGAUGGGCUGCUGGAGAUACUACAGAGCUAGGGAGUGGGAGAGGCAGACGGUAUUCAGUGGGUAGGGGUAAAAUCCUCUGAUCCAUUGAGGACCACCAGUGGCGAAGGCGGUCUGCCAGAACACGUUCGACGGUGAGGGAUGAAAGCUGGGGGAGCAAACCGGAUUAGAUACCCGGGUAGUCCCAGCUGUAAACGAUGCAAACUCGGUGAUGCAUUGGCUUAUGGCCAAUGCAGUGCCGCAGGGAAGCCGUUAAGUUUGCCGCCUGGGAAGUACGGACGCAAGUCUGAAACUUAAAGGAAUUGGCGGG